UACCAGCACCCCCGAGUGGUCGGGACGAUUAUUGGGCCUAAAGCAUCCGUAGCCGGUUCUACAAGUCUUCCGUUAAAUCCCACCUGCUUAACAGAUGGGCUGCGGAGGAUACUAUAGAGCUAGGAGGCGGGAGAGGCAAGCGGUACUUAGUGGGUAGGGGUAAAAUCCGUUGAUCCAUUGAAGACCACCAGUGGCGAAGGCGGCUUGCCAGAACGCACUCGACGGUG
rnacentral:rRNA from 1 species